rnacentral:rRNA from 1 species
CACAUGCAAGUCGAACGGGAAACUUUUCAUUGAAGCUUCGGCAGAUUUGGUCUGUUUCUAGUGGCGGACGGGUGAGUAACGCGUGGGUAACCUGCCUUAUACAGGGGGAUAACAACCAGAAAUGGUUGCUAAUACCGCAUAAGCGCACAGGACCGCAUGGUCCGGUGUGAAAAACUCCGGUGGUAUAAGAUGGACCCGCGUUGGAUUAGCUAGUUGGCAGGGUAACGGCCUACCAAGGCGACGAUCCAUAGCCGGCCUGAGAGGGUGAACGGCCACAUUGGGACUGAGACACGGCCCAGACUCCUACGGGAGGCAGCAGUGGGGAAUAUUGCACAAUGGGGGAAACCCUGAUGCAGCGACGCCGCGUGAAGGAAGAAGUAUCUCGGUAUGUAAACUUCUAUCGGCAGGGAAGAUAGUGACGGUACCUGACUAAGAAGCCCCGGCUAACUACGUGCCAGCAGCCGCGGUAAUACGUAGGGGGCAAGCGUUAUCCGGAUUUACUGGGUGUAAAGGGAGCGUAGACGGACUGGCAAGUCUGAUGUGAAAGGCGGGGGCUCAACCCCUGGACUGCAUUGGAAACUGUUAGUCUUGAGUGCCGGAGAGGUAAGCGGAAUUCCUAGUGUAGCGGUGAAAUGCGUAGAUAUUAGGAGGAACACCAGU